UCUUAAGCAAUAUAAACGCAUUAAAGGAAUUUAUAUGAACAUUUCAAAACACAGAGGGAAUGGAAAGGGGGUGCAUUAUAAUGUCCCCUAUCUCUUGGCCCCUAUCUCUUGGCCUUUUGGCCGUUGAAAUUACAUUAUUCAUUUCAAUGGCCAAAAAAGUAGUUUGCUUUCAUAUGGCGAUGCUGUGUGCUAAUGUUAACCAAACAUUAUGUUGUGUUCAUCAGAUAAUUCAUGGAUUGAUGAUGCAUCUCAGUGCCUACAACACCAAUGUUGUAGACACCAUCUACUUGAUGGACCAUUACACUGCAGGUGUUAUUUUGUUUGGCGACAGAGAUAUAGUACGCCGUCAAAGUUUACCUAAGGGAAUACUUGAAGAUGAGGAGGACAUCCCAUGGCAAAACUGACUGGGUGGAUAUUCACUGGAAAGGAGGAGUAAUACCUCACCCAGUACAAAAGGAUGGUUGCAGUUGUGGCGUUAUUGUUGUCGAAGUAAGUUGAACUAUGUAGUAUAGUGGAAACAUAAUGUUUUUGUGUUUGCAGUGGUUGAAAUAAGGUUCCAUUUAGGUGUUUCUGUACACGUACAAGAUUUCUGUGAAUCCUCACCGUCAUGCAUGUGUUUACAUAUGCUUUAGUUAUCUAUUAAAAGAGGAAGACAUUUUCAAUAACUACAGUGUUGUUAAUUUAGAUGGCCAGAGCAGUAAUGGAAGCCUUCCCUCAGUUGCCCCACAUUGACUUUGACACCUCCAAGAAAGCCAUGAAAGAAGCCAGGAGAAAUAUGGGACUCCAAGUCCUUGAAGCAUCAGUCUUUGAUGACGAAAUGUGCGCAAUGUGUGGAGCUGACAAGCCCCUUGGAGAUGCACCUGCCAAUACCGACUGGAUCCAGUGUGAUAAAUGUGACCGGUGGUUCCAUGCCCUGUGUGCCAAUAUGGACACCAGGACCCUGGAAGAAUUUAAAAAAAAAGAAUGGCUCUGUGUGCUGUGCAGAUGACCAGCAAUAUGGGGGUCAAGUAGUUGGACAUCCUUGGACUGGCAUGGCUCUCGGCUUUGGCCUUGGCCUGGAAUGGCUUGGUUUUUGUUUGGGUUUGGGGAAAUAAACUUGCUAUUGAACAAUGAGACGGUUCAUUUUUUUGUGGGGUUUGGUCUAAAGAUCAUCUUGUUUGUCAGGUUUCGUGAAAAUCAGAUGAAAUUAGUGACCUGUGAAAACAUUUUUUACGUUUUUCAACUUGAAAGGGUUUAUGGAUCACAAAAUGGGGAGGGCAUUAUCUUCAGGUGUGUCUAAUUAGUACCAUCUAGUACAGUGGUUUUCAAACUGUGGGGCGCGCCCCCCCUGGGGGGCGCUAGAGUUCUUCAGGGGGGGCGCGACGUGAGAAAAAAAUAAACCCGAAAAAAACCCUGAAAGACAAUGAUUCAAAUCAUCAGUCGUACUUCAACUGUAGAAGUAACAUAAUAACUAAAUCAAUUUUCAACCGUUUAUCUUCGUGCAAACCAUUUAACAAAUCUACACACUUCAAUAAUAUCUAAACAGAAUUUCGAUAUCAUUUAAAAUGUCUUCAGAAUCACAGUUUUAGUUUCAUACUGCUUCGUUUUCAGCUGUUUUCAUUGAAGACGUCAGCCCAUUCUGAUACACCUACUUCUAGACAUCGUAACUCAUUCCUUUUUCAACCGUUUACCAUCGUUCAAACCAUUGAACAAAUCUACACACUUGUAUCUUCAAUACUAUCUAAACGGAAUUUUGAUAGCAUUUAUACUUUUUUCAGAAUCACAGUUUUAGUUUCAAACCGGCGUCGUUUUCAGUUGCUUAUAAUAAUUUAGGUCACCAUAGCAACGCCGGUAAACAAACCCCGCCGAAUAGUCGAAUCUCUGGACUGAACGGCAGAUCUGAUUCGACUCAGAAAAUCCAGAGUCGGGGACCCUGAAUGAAUCUGUAAACUGGCAGUUUACACAGAUUAAGAUGUUCAAAUGUAUUUAAAAAAGGUUAAGCUAAAACAUGCUUAGAUAAAGUUGUUAAAUUGUGUUGUUUAAAAACGCAAAAAGAUGUUGUAAUGUU